GAUGAACGCUGGCGGCGUGCCUAAUACAUGCAAGUCGAGCGAACAGACGAGGAGCUUGCUCCUCUGACGUUAGCGGCGGACGGGUGAGUAACACGUGGAUAACCUACCUAUAAGACUGGGAUAACUUCGGGAAACCGGAGCUAAUACCGGAUAAUAUAUUGAACCGCAUGGUUCAAUAGUGAAAGACGGUUUUGCUGUCACUUAUAGAUGGAUCCGCGCCGCAUUAGCUAGUUGGUAAGGUAACGGCUUACCAAGGCAACGAUGCGUAGCCGACCUGAGAGGGGGAUCGGCCACACUGGAACUGAGACACGGUCCGGACCCCUACGGGAGGCAGAAGUAGGGAAUCUUCCGCAAGGGGCGAAAGCCGGACGGAGCAACGCCGCGGGAGUGAUGAAGGUCUUCGGAUCGUAAAACUCUGUUAUUGGGGAAGAACAAAUGUGUAAGUAACUAUGCACGUCUUGAGGGUACCUAAUCAGAAAGCCACGGCUAACUACGUG
rnacentral:rRNA from 1 species